GUGGGGAAUAUUGGACAAUGGGCGAAAGCCUGAUCCAGCCAUGCCGCGUGUGUGAAGAAGGUCUUCGGAUUGUAAAGCACUUUAAGUUAGGAGGAAGGGCAGUAAGUUAAUACCUUGCUGUUUUGACGUUACCGACAGAAUAAGCACCGGCUAACUUCGUGCCAGCAGCCGCGGUAAUACGAAGGGUGCAAGCGUUAAUCGGAAUUACUGGGCGUAAAGCGCGCGUAGGUGGUUUUGUAAGUUGGAGGUGAAAUCCCCGGGCUCAACCUGGGAACUGCCUCCAAAACUGCAUGACUAGAGUACGGUAGAGGGUAGUGGAAUUUCCUGUGUAGCGGUGAAAUGCGUAGAUAUAGGAAGGAACACCAGUGGCGAAGGCGACUACCUGGACUGAUACUGACACUGAGGUGCGAAAGCGUGGGGAGCAAACAGGAUUAGAUACCCCUGUAGUCC
rnacentral:rRNA from 1 species